AGCAGUAGCCACGGGAAUACGGAGGGAGCUAGCGUUGUUCGGAAUUACUGGGCGUAAAGCGCACGUAGGCGGCUUUGUAAGUUAGAGGUGAAAGCCUGGAGCUCAACUCCAGAAUUGCCUUUAAGACUGCAUCGCUUGAAUCCAGGAGAGGUGAGUGGAAUUCCGAGUGUAGAGGUGAAAUUCGUAGAUAUUCGGAAGAACACCAGUGGCGAAGGCGGCUCACUGGACUGGUAUUGACGCUGAGGUGCGAAAGCGUGGGGAGCAAACAGGAUUAGAUACCCCGGUAGUCCCUGUCUCUUAUAC
rnacentral:rRNA from 1 species